rnacentral:rRNA from 1 species
AUUGAACGCUGGCGGCAUGCCUUACACAUGCAAGUCGAACGGCAGCACGGGUGCUUGCACCUGGUGGCGAGUGGCGAACGGGUGAGUAAUACAUCGGAACAUGUCCUGUAGUGGGGGAUAGCCCGGCGAAAGCCGGAUUAAUACCGCAUACGAUCUACGGAUGAAAGCGGGGGACCUUCGGGCCUCGCGCUAUAGGGUUGGCCGAUGGCUGAUUAGCUAGUUGGUGGGGUAAAGGCCUACCAAGGCGACGAUCAGUAGCUGGUCUGAGAGGACGACCAGCCACACUGGGACGGAGACACGGCCCAGACUCCAACGGGAGGCAGCAGUGGGGAAUUUUGGACAAUGGGGGAAAGCCUGAUGGAGCAAGGCCGCGUGUGUGAAGAAGGCCUUCGGGUUGUAAAGCACUGGUGUCCGGAAAGAAAACCUUGGCCCUAAUACGGUCGGGGGAUGACGGUACCGGAAGAAUAAGCACCGGCUAACUACGUG